CAGAAAAGCACCAGCUGCCAGAGUUAUGGACAGAAGUACAUAAAGCAGGUGUCUGCCUUCAGAAAUCAUGGCCCAAUGCCAAAUGUCUGUUUUGGUUCCUUCCCCACUGCUCUUGUGGACCCUUUUGCUGGCAGUGACAGAAUCAGCUACAGAGAUUACUUCACAUCUGCCCUGGAGGCCUGGUCAUUUCCAUUUUCUGUGAAUGCUUCCUGCAUGGGAGCUGCUCCAAGCCAUGUGUUACAUUGAUGCUCAGAGUGACUCUACCAGAGCACACCUUUAAAAUUUAGGUAUAAAAGUUACCUGAAUCUAGAACACAGAGACAACAACACUGGCUAUGUAACUACAUGCUUGUACACAAUUUCUUGACAUGGAGCAGAUAUCUUCAAGCUUUAACAAAGUGAUGGAAAGAUCUCCAAAGCCCUAAUGGAUUGUGAAAACCUAUAUAACUCAAACUAUAUCUCAUGGACUGCAGACUUUUGUCCUCGAGAAUCUAUUCUGAAAUGGGAAGGUGGCUCCUGUUUCUGAGAAGACGAGCAGGUUAAGAAGUUGGCAUUUGCACUAGACCAGAGGGGAAAAAAGACAACAGUCAGAUCAGUUCUGCUGGCCAUGACACAAAGUGGAAAUGGGUGUCCCUAAUUAUGGAAUUCAAAGAAUCCAAGUUCUCCACAGCAACUGCUUUCACAAACUCAAGAUUUGAAGAUUUAAGCCUUGGAGGGUGGAGCUGAAUCCUGCGGCCAUGGGUGGAAGGCAUCCAUCAUCCCUGCAGCACACAGGCGCAAUCAGCAGGUUGCUCUGGUGGUGGUGUGCUGGCCAUUCAGCUUCCAAAGGUCCUGCUGUCCCCAAGCCGUCUGGGUGCUCCCUCUUGGGGCUGCUCCUGUUUUGGCUGCUGUGCUCCUGCUCCUGCCAGAAUGACGUAUGCACCGAGACAAAGUUUGUCCUCUCUCAAAGGGUACUGCUUUCAAGCUCACCAGAGGGACUGAUUAGUGACCAGCAUAUAAAGCUUCUUGCUGGAAGGUGUCUCACCUGAGAGAAAGAGCCAAGAAAGAGGAAGAAAGCAGUUUGACAUCUCCACUUCCCAUUUAUCCUGCCAAGCUAGAGUGUGGAGAAGCCCUUAGGAGCACCAUGUUUUGGUGACAAAGUUCUUGUACUUUCAGCUAAAGAUGGUUAACUCUGCUAUGGAAAGGGAGCCAUUUAAGCAAAGGACUGUACCAUCUGGAGUGAUCUUCAGCCGUUUCUUUAGCUCAAACUCUUUAGUUCAUUCUUGGGGCUCCAGAAGUGCAGAGCACUUGGACUGUGGGACUUCUGUGCCUGUGUCAAUGAUCACAUACAGAUGGUAUGAAAACACAGAGAUCCAGCUGGUUCCCAUGGCAUUGAGACAAAAUUAUGUGGAGUGGAGAAUUCCUUCUGAGAGACUAAAAAACAUGGAGAUGUUAUGGACGAACGAGGCCAGACUUUCUUCAGAGGAAAAGGCUCUUGUUUAUUUAAAAAGAGCUACAGGAGAUGGAAGGCCUGAGAUAGGCUCUGACCCCCAUGCAACAAGUGAAAAAAAACCAGUGUGUCUACCCCACAUGCACACUGGGUUCUCCAGGAAGCAUUCCUGUUUUGAGGAACUCAAGUUCCUCAAAAGAGCUCCAAACUCCACUGAACUCCCAUUUUUAUAACGCCCUUCGGGUCCAGGAUUGGUGAGUUUUGGAUCCACGUGGUGAUUGGUUUGUUUCUGGCGUUCCUAUUGGUUGAAUGAUUGGUUAGGCCUUUCUCCCAAGCUCCUUCUGUGGCGCUGGUUUCGUUGCCCUGACUCUGUUCCUGGAUGUUAUUCUGCCCCUUUGGACCAUGCCCCCAGUACAUCCUGGACCCUUUAGAACUUGCGAAGAGCGUUGACUAACCCCCUUAAAACAAUAACUCCCCUUCCCAAGGUUACAAUAAUCAACUCAAGCUUAACUCAAUACAAACUGAAUCUCACUUAUAACAACUAUGCUUCUAUUAAAAUAUCAGACACCGAUUUUUUUGUUACAUUGGGCCUAUCCUGGAAAUUCAUGAAUCAGACUCUUGUGAGAGGCAGGCACUGUUGAUUUUUCCAGCUCUUCUUGGAGGGAACUGUCAUGUUUCAUCACACUGACCCAGGGUCAAAGAAGAAUAGGACAAAAAAAUGUUCAUAUACAGCUUCACCUUGGAGAGUCUCAUGGCAAAGACCUCAUACUCAAAACUUUAUCUAGAAAGGUGGAUUUAAUGAAGUACCAUAGAAACAGUGGCAUUUAUUUUGAAGUUAUCUUUAAAAUGUCAUGACAUAUUUUUAUUAGUUUGAAAGAUACUUAAAAUUAAGCAUGCAUAUAUAUUUAAAAUAUUUAAAUCUCCAAAAUGAAAAAUUGUUUCUGUCAUUGAAAAUGACAAAUUUUUCCUGUUGCCCAACUGUGCAGCCUUGCACAGUGUCAUUAAAAUAGCCCAAAUGAAAACUUAAAAUGAUGCAGUUGUGUUGGUUUAGUUUUUUUCUCUGUUAGUGGAAAUUGGUCUUCUCUGAUCUCUUCAAAUAUAUUGUAUGCUGCUUAAUGACCAGUAUUACAGAUGUUAGAGAGAGAUUCACCAAAAUGCUAAAAAUCAUACAAAAAGUGUAAGAUUUCAAGCUGGAAUGAUUCAUAUUGGUUGGUGGUACCUGCAUCUGUAAAUAUGUCUGUUCUGCCUACUUGCACUUCCAUACACUGAAGUUCAAGCUAUAUUGAUAAAACGUGGAUUUUAAUGAUAAUUUUGUUUUUAGGGAUUGCACCUGUAUGUGAUCAUGCUUUAGUAAUAAGAUUAAUUCAUUUUAUUCAUGUAUUGUGAUGCAUAAUAUUAAUUAAUUAAAUUAUAUUGUGUACUAAUAAACAUGCUAACAAUAAUCAUAUGCUUAAAAUACUAGCUACUACAACAAAAAAGAGAAAUAAAAGUAACAAUAAA